UGGUGAAUUUUGGACAAUGGGGGAAACCCUGAUCCAGCCAUCCCGCGUGUGCGAUGAAGGCCUUCGGGUUGUAAAGCACUUUUGGCAGGAAAGAAACGUCAUGGGUUAAUACCCCGUGAAACUGACGGUACCUGCAGAAUAAGCACCGGCUAACUACGUGCCAGCAGCCGCGGUAAUACGUAGGGUGCAAGCGUUAAUCGGAAUUACUGGGCGUAAAGCGGGCGCAGGCGGUUCGGAAAGAAAGAUGUGAAAUCCCAAAGCUCAACUUUGGAACUGCAUUUUUAACUACCGGGCUAGAGUGUGUCAGAGGGAGGUGGAAUUCCGCGUGUAGCAGUGAAAUGCGUCGAUAUGCGGAGGAACACCGAUGGCGAGGGCAGCCUCCUGGGAUAACACUGGCGCUAAUGCACGAAAGCGUGGGGAGCAAACAGG
rnacentral:rRNA from 1 species